rnacentral:rRNA from 1 species
AAUGGCCGCAGUAUUUUGACUGUGCAAAGGUAGCAUAAUCAUUAGUUUCUUAAUUAGAAACUGGAAUGAAGGGUUGAACGAGAAAAUAACUGUCUCUUUUUAAAUUAUUUAGAAUUUUAUUUUUAAGUUAAAAAGCUUAAAUUUUUUUAAAAGACGAGAAGACCCUAUAGAGUUUUAUAUAGUAUAUUUUAAUAAUUUAAGUAGAAUGUUUAAAAUUUUAAAUUAUAUUUUAUUUAAUUGGGGUGAUUAAAAAAUUUAAUAAACUUUUUUUUUAUUAUUACAUUAAUUUAUGUUUUAUUGAUCCAUUAAUUUUAUGAUUAAAAGAUUAAAUUACCUUAGGGAUAACAGCGUAAUUUCUUUGUAGAGUUCUAAUCGAUAAAGAAGUUUGCGACCUCGAUGUUGGAUUAAAAUUAAUUUUUGGUGUAGAAGCUAAAACAUUAGGUCUGUUCGACCUUUAAAAUUUUACAUGAUCUGAGUUUAAACCGGUGUAAGCCAGGUUGGUUUCUAUCUUUAAAUUAAUAAAAUAUUUUAGUACGAAAGGACCAAAUAUUUAUAAAAUUUAUUUUAUAGUGAAUAUUAUUAAUAUAAGUAUAUGA